rnacentral:rRNA from 1 species
GUGUCAGCAGCCGCGGUAAUACGUAGGUGGCAAGCGUUGUCCGGAAUCAUUGGGCGUAAAGAGCUCGUAGGCGGCUCAGUAAGUCGGCUGUGAAAGCCCGGGGCUCAACCCCGGAACUGCAGUCGAUACUGCUGUGGCUAGAGUCCGGUAGAGGAAGGUGGAAUUCCCGGUGUAGCGGUGGAAUGCGCAGAUAUCGGGAGGAACACCAGUAGCGAAGGCGGCCUUCUGGGCCGGUACUGACGCUGAGGAGCGAAAGCGUGGGGAGCAAACAGGAUUAGAUACCCCCGUAGUCC